GUCUUCCUUCCCACAACUCUCGAACUGUAGCGGUCUAAACCUUUCACGUCACUCAAGAUCAAUUCGCUCUUCCUAUUGGUUGAAAAGGCUGGGAAGGCGGGGAAAUGCAAAAGAUGGAGUGGGUGGGGACGCGCCUUCGGUUUCCUUGCUCUUCUCAAGCUCAUUGGUCUCACUCAUGUCACUCAAGAUUUCUCAUCGACGGGCAUAUUGGCGGAUUACAUUCCAGACUGCUUGACUUCUAUCGCGUUCAUGGCAAAGUAUGGUUAGAACUCCAUUCUUCCACAGCAAAAG
rnacentral:lncRNA from 11 species